rnacentral:rRNA from 1 species
UGGGGAAUUUUGCGCAAUGGGCGAAAGCCUGACGCAGCGACGCCGCGUGGGUGAUGAAGGUCUUCGGAUUGUAAAGCCCUGUCGGGGGGAACGAAUGCUCCUAUGGCUAAUAUCCAUGGGAAGUGACGGUACUCCCAAAGGAAGCACCGGCUAACUCCGUGCCAGCAGCCGCGGUAAUACGGAGGGUGCAAGCGUUGUUCGGAAUUACUGGGCGUAAAGCGUCUGUAGGCGGAUAGAGAAGUCGGGUGUGAAAGCCCUAGGCUCAACCUAGGAAUUGCGCCCGAAACCAUCUAUCUUGAGUGCCAAAUGGGUACGUGGAAUUCCUAGUGUAGCAGUGAAAUGCGUAGAUAUUAGGAGGAACACCGGUGGUGAAGACGACGUACUGGGUGGCAACUGACGCUGAGAGACGAAAGCGCGGGGAGCAAACAGG